AAUAAAAUAUAUUUGUCUCAUUCUAACUUAUUGCAGUGCAGCAGUGUAGCUGAAAAGAACAGACUUAUUCUUACAAUUUAAAUUUAGAGGUUGCGGGUAAUCAUUUGACAUUAAAGAGAUGAUAAGCUUAUAUGUAUACCCAGUAUAGUCUUAGUACAGUCUAAAAGAGCAAAACGUUGUUAUCUGAUAUUCGCAACAUCAAACGAAACGUUUCUCCAAUCGAAACCUUAUUAUUUUCUCGGGUUAUAUGAGGAGGCGCAGUAUUAUUGUAGUUCAGUAGUGAUUAUAUCUAAAUUGCAAGCGUGACCGUAACAGUGUUCUAUGGACGGUACAUCCAUUAUCCAUUUACCGGUUUUUUAAAAAAGAGAAUUAUGUAUAUGCGUCAAUACGCAGAUAGACAGACGUCAAUGCACAUCUCUGUCAAACAUGUGACUGCUAACCCAGAGUUACUUGUUUAAAUACAAGUUCUUUGGUCAUGCUAUUGAACUUAUUGAUGUGCUUGGGAAGAAUAAAUUAAAUCAUAGAUUACAGAAUAUCUGUUAUUAAAGCAGAUUAUUAUACAUAUUAACGUACACACAUUGUGGUAGCAGAACGUUAACCUGCCAAGCAUAUUUGCUUCUUGAUUAAGUCAUACAUCUGUAGAAAAGGAAUUGAUCA